GAAGUCAGGCUCGACUCGAGCUCGAGCCUGACUCAAAAAUAAACGAGCUGAGCCUGGAUAGCCCAAGCUCGGUUCGAUUACACCAAUAAUAUAAAUCAUCCACUUCAUUUUUAGGGUUAGGGUUUUACGUUGCGGCACAGCUUCAACCUCCUCUUCUUCUCCAGGCUCUCAGACCCUUGUCUUCUUCGAAGAACUUCUCUCAGUCAUCAUGGGUAAGACACGUGGUAUGGGAGCUGGUUGCAAGCUGAAGUCCCACCCUAGGAGGCAAAGGUGGGCUGACAAGUCUUACAAAAAGUCCCAUCUUGGAAAUGAAUGGAAGAAGCCAUUUGCUGGGUCUUCCCAUGCAAAGGUGGGCCACCCCCUUUGGCUCCUCGGAGAUGGGGAUGGCUGCUCUAUCCCUUGUUGAAAAGUUGAAAACUGAAUACUGCCAAAGAUUUCUCUCAACUUCUGCAAAGGUGUGGGUCAGGGGGCUUUGAAGGAAAGAUCAUUUACUUUUUUCCCUGUUGCGAAUAUGCAGACGCCAAAAGCAUGAGCUGGCUCUUUGGACUAGCUGUAGAGGAAAUCUCCUGCAACACCUCGGACUGCUCACCAACUCAAGACGGCAGUUGGAGAUUCUGAUUCAGUUUCCUCGUCUCCACAUCCAGCCAGUAGGACGCCAAAAGGAAGUCCUAAAGUUAUGGAAUGCAGGUCAGCACGAAGCCCAAUGUCUGAGACACGUGGUAUGGGAGCUGGUCGCAAGCUGAAGUCCCACCAUAGGAGGCAAAGGUGGGCUAACAAGUCUUACAAGAAGUCCCAUCUUGGAAAUGAAUGGAAGAAGCCAUUUGCUGGGUCUUCCCAUGCAAAGGGCAUUGUCCUUGAGAAGAUAGGCAUUGAGGCCAAGCAGUUUAACUAUGCUAUCAGGAAAUGUGCUAGAGUUCAACUAAUCAAAAAUGGGAAGAAGAUUGCUGCAUUUGUCCCUAAUGAUGUUUGCUUGAACUACAUAGAAGAAAAUGACGAGGUCUUGAUCGCUGGAUUUGGACGAAGGGUCAUGCCGUCGGUGAUAUUCCUGGUGUCUCCCUCCUGGCUCUCUUCAAGGAGAAAAACGAGAAGCCUAGAGCUGGCUCUUUGGACUAGCCGCAGAGGAAAUCUCCUGCAACACCUCGGACUGCUCGCCAACUGAAGACGCCAGUUGCAGAUUCUGAUUCAGUUUCCUCAUCUCCAGAUCCAGCCAGUAGGACGCCAAAAGGAAGUCCUAAAGUUAUGGAAUGCAGGUCAGCACGAAGCCCAAUGUCUGAGCUCCAGAAGAAGCUCCCAAGCAGAGUGUCUGAAUUGGAGUCGCAGCUUGCUCAAGUCCAAGCGGAUCUGAAAAAGGCAAAGGACCAAGUGAACUCAUCUGAGUCAUGGAAUGAUGGAAGAGGAGAGCCCACCAGGAGGCUGAAGAGGUCAAGAAGGAUCUCUUAGCCAUGUCAGCAAAUCUCGAGGAAUCCCAGCAGCAGCUGCUGGAGAUUUCUGCUUCUGAAGAAGCUCGGCUUCAAGAGCUCGGCAAGAUCUCCCAGGAUCGUGAUCGAGCAUGGCAAUCUGAACUUGAAGCUGCCCAGAGGCAGCACUCAAUGGAUUCUGCCGCCUUGGCUUCUGCUAUGAAUGAAAUUCAUAAGGUCAAAGUUCAGCUGGAGAUGGUGGCUGAAUCAAAAGCUACCCAAGCUAAGAACGCUGAGCUGGCACAUGCUGAGAUUGGGGGCUUGAGAAUGGAACUUUCAGGAACUCAAUCCCUUGUUUGCUCAUACUUCCUAUUAAUAUGUGAAGUAGAAUACAAAAUAUUUAAUUGAAAUAAAAAGUGAAUGACGAAGACAAUGUAUAAAUUCAAGAUUUUUUUUAAUGGGUAAUGAUACAUAUUAUUUAUUUUUUA